rnacentral:rRNA from 1 species
GCAAGUCGAACGAAAAGCUAGAGCUUGCUCUAGCAGACGAGUGGCGAAAGGGUGAGUAACGCGUGAGCAACUUGCCUCCAAGUUGGGAAUAACGUCUGGAAACGGGCGCUAAAACCGAAUGUGAAUAUUUAACCGCAUGGUUUUAUAUUUAAAAAUUUAUUGCUUGGAGAUGGGCUCGCGUCCCAUUAGCUAGUUGGUGGGGUAAUGGCCUACCAAGGCACCGAUGGGUAGCUGGUCUGAGAGGAUGAUC